CCUCGGGCCAGGCAGCCUUGCUCUCAACUGCCAUACUCCUGCCGGUCCACACGCAGCAAGCUUAGCACAGGGAAAUGAGCUGACAAGAAGGUGGUGCGGCAGCCGGACAGAAGUUGAGAUGUGCACGGGACUGAGGCGGGGGGCCUGAACAUUGCAAGAUUCAGACAAGCAUUAGCUACUUUUCAGACAAGAGCAGCAUCAGGAGGUGAAAACUUCAAGAACAGAGAAAUGCGUUAAGGGAUCUCAACAUCACUCUGUGCCCUCUGGAGCUGGAUACAAUCAGGCUGAGCUUCUAACUGCGGACCCCACACAUUGCUGCUGAUCCACGUGCCACGCUCUCCCUCCCUGCAUGCAUCAAAAGAACCGCCUCUCCCACUUCGCUGGGCUGUCAAUAAGGUGAACCGACGUGGCGGGACUGCAUAUCUCCAGUGUUGAGCUUACGGCGGUGGGGAGGUGUGAACAUAGCGUGCGCUCACCGCUGCCACAGAUCCAUGGCCGCACCAAUCUUUUAACAAGUAUCUAUCACUCCAAAUUGGACAUUACUUUGGCAUACUGCACCAAGGCAUUCAAUUCCUUUUGGAGCACUUAUAAACAGCGGAUUGUAUAUAGACUGCCUAUGCUCACACCACUCGCCUCUCCAUGGGGGUAAUUCC